rnacentral:rRNA from 1 species
AGUGGGGAAUAUUGGACAAUGGGCGAAAGCCUGAUCCAGCCAUGCCGCGUGUGUGAAGAAGGUCUUCGGAUUGUAAAGCACUUUAAGUUGGGAGGAAGGGCAGUAAAUUAAUACCUUGCUGUUUUGACGUUACCGACAGAAUAAGCACCGGCUAACUCUGUGCCAGCAGCCGCGGUAAUACGGAGGGUGCAAGCGUUAAUCGGAAUUACUGGGCGUAAAGCGCGCGUAGGUGGUUUGUUAAGUUGAAUGUGAAAUCUCCGGGCUCAACCUGGGAACUG